rnacentral:misc_RNA from 1 species
ACAACUCAUUCCAACAACUUUUUUGUUGGAGUGGAAUUUGAGCUUGCGUUGGCUGGCUCGAAAUGUAUGGUGGUGUGAAGACCUGCCGAGUUUAACGUCAUAUCAUUUUCGCUAGACUUUUGGCAGCCAUCUGGCCCUCAACCUUUCAAAUC